AUUUUGGAAUUUCUUGUUCUAUUAUAAAUAUGGAAGUAUCCCUAUUUCAGAAGACAUAUUUUGUUAAAAAUGAAUUGUACAUAUUUAAAUAUGUAUUUUUGCACAGGUCUUUUUUUCUGAUAUCCUGUUUUGGUACAAUUGAGAUCAUCUAGUAUUUAUUUAUUAAUUAAUAAAAGUAAAUACCUUUUUAUAAUUUGAAGUGGUUCACUGCCAAGCCAAUAGUUCUAGAACCUGCCUCCUUUACAGUUUAAGGGAUGCCUCUGUUCUGUGAAAAAGUCUUUGUCCCUUUUCACGUCUCGGGAGUGGAUUCAUCCGGAUGAAGUGGGCAUUCGCGUCUCCCUAGUUGCCUGAUUGCCCGAUAGACUCCAUGUAACUAAGUGACACACUGCUUUUCCUUUUGUUAGUGUUUUAUGUGUGCGUGUGUGCGUGCGUGGGCGUUGUGUGUGUGUGCAUGUGCGCUGAGCACACGUGUGUGAGUAUGCGAUGUGGUUUUAAACUAAUGGAAAAAAACUGAAAGUGCCUGAACCUAGUUUUAAGCUUAGACAGAUUCUCUUUGAAAAAGACUUGAAUGUUCAGUUGAACUUUUGGAGUUUGCUUUUCCACCUAAAUAUUGUUUCUAAAAUUUUAAGGGAGGAGUUGAAAACCACCAGUGCUGGUGAUUUUAUAAGGUGUUUUAAAGUCCAAGGCCUUUUGGGUCACAGUAAUUCAGCUGUUGAUGGAUUGCCCAGUGGCACCAAGGGUUACACAUCUCUCUGUCUGCCAGCAACUUAAAUGAUGUGUCCGUUUUGUUACUCACGCAUGAAAUACAGAGUUUAAAAUAAAAUAUUUAAAUUAUUUUGUAUUCCAAAAAUCUAAUACAAAGAAGUACCUCUGAGAACAUUGAAAAAAAAAUGUAUAAUCUGAAAAAUGUAACUUAUAAGGCAGCUGUCGUCCUGCGAGAGUUCUGUUGCCAAGGAAUUUCUUAACGUCUCUCAUUGCGUCCUGGGUGGGGAACACGGUGGGCUUUGGAAAAUGAUCGUUAAAAGUUCUGUUUGUUGUUUAGCAGAAAAGAAUCAUUUUUACAGUUUGUGCAAAACAUUUUACAUUUUCAGAUCAUUUAAAUGAGCACUACAUACUGUCAGUGUGAAUGUAGGGCCUUGAAAGCAUUCUGCUAAGUUUCUUUGAGCUGGGUUAUAAAAGCAAUCUCCUGUGUUAAAAUGUGUGACUAGUUGGAUGAUUUGUACACGUAAAUCAAGAGCAUCUCAGCUGGACUCGUGUUGGCUGCUGUAGAGAACAAGAACAAAUGUCAAGGGAUAGAAAAUUACUUUGGAUAUUUAAAAGAGAAGAAAUAUAUAGUCUAUUUGUUUUGUAACAAGUUUCUGUAAAUAAAAUAAUUUAUACUAUUUAUAAGAAAAAGUUGUGCUUUGCUUUAUGAGAAAUUAGUUUGUGGAACAAACAUGUUACUAAACGGGCAAUAAAAUUAGGACUUGUCAAUAAAUGAGGUUGGCUGCAUGAAAUACGUGACACGUUUCUGCCUCGCGAUACCGAACCCUCCCAGUCGGGUCUGGCCGCUCUUCCCUCCCGGCAUCAGGCCCCCUGGGGGAGCACCUUCGCUUCGGCCUCCCACCCAUACAAGCGGAGUACUUUCCAGGCCUUCGGAGAUUGCCAUUCCUGGGCACAGAGCCUCGCCCUGCCUGGAUGAAUCGGUGCCUGUGUCAACAAUGAGCACUGCUGUGUUCUGGCUCUGCAGGUCUGCCGAGGAAGCGCUGGGCGGGUGACGCUCGAGAAACGGCACGUUCUGCGUGUGCUUGCUUAGCUGUAAGGUGGGUGCCUUGUGGUCAGCUUAGGUAGAGGUGAGCAUUUUCGUCCCAGAGCUGGUCUCCCCUCCCCCUGCAUUGCACCUGUGUCCCUCACUGGUAGGACAAGCACACAGGAAACCUCUUACCUGUAGUAGAAGGGUGGCCCUGUGGCCAGUUGAUGAUAAGUCAUUCUGAGAAAUUAAUAUACAUUAGUUUGGUUUAAAAGAAAAGCAGCUAGUGCCUAGUGUAUUGAUCAGAACAUGAAUGUCAGGUGGCUGUAACCCCAGCGUGGACUUUAACCAGUGACUCCCGUGACUAAAUCCUUUCACCGUGGGUGGCUCCAGCCCCUCCCCAGGGAAGGGCUCACUGCUCAGUCUCUUAGCCCCGUGACUUCCUUUCCCUAACAGGUAACCUGACUCUGCAUAGCUGAGCUCAAGGAAGGGGGUUGAUCUUGGCGGUGGGAUUUGCCCUGUGGAAAGGCCAGGGUAAGGUUAUUCUAGGGCCAUGGUUGGGGUUGGGGACCUUUUUUCCACUAAGGGCCAUCUGUAUGUUUACAGCAUCAUUCGGGACCAUAGCCUUCCGCAGAGUUGCUGAAUGUUGAGGCCCAUCUGUGCUUGCCUUGCUCGGCAGGGCCAGACCAGGUGAUUUCGCAGGCCUUAUGUGGCCCUGUGGGCCCAAGGUCCCCACUGCCGUUCCCGGCAGAGGGUGCCACAUGGGGCGAACAGGGCUGUGAAGACCACGUGGAGCAGAUCACCUCGGAGAAAGCAGCUGGUGUCACAGUAUCAAGGACCCUGAAUUUCACAGAGCCUCUGUCCUCAGGAGAACGUGGUCCAGUCCCACCCAGCACUGUGGGAGUUGCCAAGAGUAAAAGCCGUUGCCAUCAUUUCCUGGAGACGGGGAAAAUCAAAGCCAAAGCCCUUGGUCCAAAGCCAGCACUGCCGGAGUCUCUUGGGAAGCAGAAACGACAUUUUCCGAGAGGAGAGAAUCCAGCACUGACAGCUAUCAUCUCCGUCACGUGCGACCCCCAGUAACUGGAUGACGACAGAAUGCACAGAUCAUGUGGACGAAGUUACAAAGCAUCCAUGACGGAGGCCCAGGCACAGCACACUCGUAUAUGGCUUCUCCUGGACUCCACAAACCCAAAGCUCAUCCUCCAUGGCCCAGAGAGAAGCCAGCCGAGGACAGAAUCCCACAGAGAAAAUGCUUGUAUUUUGUGAAGACAGAUGGAGAUCCAGCACUGCAGACUAAAAGGGUUGCGAGGCGACUCAACGUAAGCAGCCUGCAUGUAUUACCUGUCAUGGCAAGGACAAGGAGCAUGACCCGUCCCCCUCCUCAAGGUAAAGUAGCAGUCGCAGCCACUCCACGGGGCCUGCAUCACCACAGGCUGCCACUGGGAAUGAAAAGCAAGUCCUGGUGCCUUCAGUGGCUCUUUCCUGUCCUCCUCACCUACUGGGUUUGGGCUAAAAUGGUGAAAAAAAUCGAUGAAGCAUGUUCUAAGCAGGAAAGGAGAAUGAGAGAAUCAGAGGGACUGUGCCGUAAGCCCACAGCAAGUCUGAGUGUGUGAAGAUAGACAAAGCCGUGGUUGCUGUGAGCCCAUCAGUCCCUGGUGCUCUGUAGGUGGGAGCUGGGAGAAAGGGUUAUUUAAUCCUUCUUUCUCUCUAGCAUGAGCUGCAGUGUAAGUUGGGAAAAGCAGAAUUUUGUUGCCUAAAUGGACAGAGCAACAUAGUAAGUUCUGUGUUUUAGAACUAGGGGGGUUUUGUUAAGGGCACACAGAGUCACAGUAUUUUCACAAAAUGUUUCACAGGUGGGCAUUCUUGGAGAGCCACAAGUGCUUAAGCACACCCAGCAUUUCUAAACCCUCCACACCCACCCCGCUUUCCUCACUGAAAACCAGCAGCUCCUCUUCCACUACAGUACUGAUGGCAGGGCUUUGAUUUCCAGACCCACUGCUCCAGCAGUAGUAACAGUUACCAAGUUAUUUUCCGAUCCAGUGUCCACAUGAUUCAUUCAUUCCGAUCAGCAAGUAAAAGUGCCCUUUAAAAAAGCAGGCGUCUCCUCGCCGCCCCCCCCGCCUCCAAUGUAAGAUGCCAUUCCAUCCAUGUUCUGCAGUUCCAGCUCUCCCAAAACUCAGCAAAUCUGGCUGUGCCUGUACUCCAGCCACCAACUUGUGAAGGCUGUAGUGAAAACCUCGUUACUUGCCCUCUCUUGAAAACUGCAUUCUACCAGAGACCUCCUGGGGCCCUGCAUAAAACAAAGCGCCCCCUUUAACUCUCUCUCCUUGUAGACUUCAUCGUAUCCUGGGGGAAGGGGAGAUGAAAUGCUACAUAACUAUCAGCAGAACCGAAGAGGAAUAGCUGUGCUGUGUUGCGUGAGACUGGCCUUGUUAACUUUUGGAAUCCAUGUUAUGCCACCUUCCUAAACAUGGUAACUCUGUCUUAGGUUUACUGCGGGAACUGGAAAGCAUGUACUCUGUGAAAUCCGGAGCCUAAAGUGUCUUGCCGAGAACAGAAAGGGAACAGCCCUUUAAGCACCAUCGGCUGCCUUGAAGACUACCCCGUGUCACUGCAGCAGAUGCCUGCUCCUGCACAGACUCCACGGUGCCCCUGCCAACGGAAGACUUGAUCGCCUCCACAUCACACUGCAGGAGCAGAAGGAGGCACAGAGCCCACGGCCGCACAGUGACCUCCUGGUGGACAGAGCCAGGCCCAGUCUUGUUUCUCCGGCACUGCGCCUCACAAGCCACUCCUUCCAGUGACUCAUGUCCAACAUAAAAUCUCCAUGCCCGUCCUAGUACACCACCCUCUUGGGCACUGGUUACCAGACUGGGAGCUCCCAGGGUUGGGAAGAUCAUUUAAACCUGUUAGGGCUGGCACCAUGGCAGAGCAGGUUAAGCUGCUUUCUUCGACCAGGACACCUGCCUGCUAAUAGAGACUUGGGAAAGCAGUGGAAGCGCUUCCUCCCACCUGGCACUCUGCUUUCCAGACUAAAAAAAUGUAAACAUGCCUAUCAUUUCGUUUUUUCUUCCUUUCAAAGAAAAGUAAGGUGACAGCUGUACAGGAGGAUACUGCUUACAUUUAAGUCCUGUGCAUUUCUCUGAACAGAAAUUGUACUUCAACACAAUACGUAGAUGCAGCGUAAGAUGGCCUGGGGCAGAGAGGUGUUAGUGUCUGACACUUAAUUUGAAUCAGUUUUAAAAGUUACGUAUGGGCCGGUGCCGCAGCUCACUUGGCUAAUCCUCCACCUGCAGCGCCAGCACACCGGGUUCUAGUCCCGGUUGCCCCUCUUCCAGGCCAGCGCUGUGGCCCUGCACCCGCAUGGGAGACCAGGAGAAAGCGCCUGGCUCUGGAUCAGCGCUGUGUGCCAACCACAGCGCGCUGGCGGCCAUUGGAGGGUAAAGGAAGACCUUUCUCUCUGUUUCUCUCUCCACUCUGUCAAAAAAGUUAUUAUGUAUGUUCCAAAGUUGCCUUAAUAAAGUGUUGGAAAAAUCAAUGACUGAAAAGAAAAUGGUUUCUUUCCUAUGAAAUGCAACUUUGUUUAAAAUAACGGUAGGGGGAGACUUCAGCACACUAGAAAAAGUAGGCAGGCAUUUCCCAAGUUUUUUGUGCCAUCCUCCACCACCGUUAACACUGCUUCCCUGAGCUACUGAACAGCCCACGUGGCCUCUGUCUUCUCACU